GAAACCGAGUCUUAACUGGGCGUUAAGUUGCAGGGUAUAGACCCGAAACCCGGUGAUCUAGCCAUGGGCAGGUUGAAGGUUGGGUAACACUAACUGGAGGACCGAACCGACUAAUGUUGAAAAAUUAGCGGAUGACUUGUGGCUGGGGGUGAAAGGCCAAUCAAACCGGGAGAUAGCUGGUUCUCCCCGAAAGCUAUUUAGGUAGCGCCUCGUGAAUUCAUCUCCGGGGGUAGAGCACUGUUUCGGCAAGGGGGUCAUCCCGACUUACCAACCCGAUGCAAACUGCGAAUACCGGAGAAUGUUAUCACGGGAGACACACGGCGGGUGCUAACGUCCGUCGUGAAGAGGGAAACAACCCAGACCGCCAGCUAAGGUCCCAAAGUCAUGGUUAAGUGGGAAACGAUGUGGGAAGGCCCAGACAGCCAGGAUGUUGGCUUAGAAGCAGCCAUCAUUUAAAGAAAGCGUAAUAGCUCACUGGUCGAGUCGGCCUGCGCGGAAGAUGUAACGGGGCUAAACCAUGCACCGAAGCUGCGGCAGCGACACUGUGUGUUGUUGGGUAGGGGAGCGUUCUGUAAGCCUGUGAAGGUGUGCUGUGAGGCAUGCUGGAGGUAUCAGAAGUGCGAAUGCUGACAUAAGUAACGAUAAAGCGGGUGAAAAGCCCGCUCGCCGGAAGACCAAGGGUUCCUGUCCAACGUUAAUCGGGGCAGGGUGAGUCGACCCCUAAGGCGAGGCCGAAAGGCGUAGUCGAUGGGAAACAGGUUAAUAUUCCUGUACUUGGUGUUACUGCGAAGGGGGGACGGAGAAGGCUAUGUUGGCCGGGCGACGGUUGUCCCGGUUUAAGCGUGUAGGCUGGUUUUCCAGGCAAAUCCGGAAAAUCAAGGCUGAGGCGUGAUGACGAGGCACUACGGUGCUGAAGCAACAAAUGCCCUGCUUCCAGGAAAAGCCUCUAAGCAUCAGGUAACAUCAAAUCGUACCCCAAACCGACACAGGUGGUCAGGUAGAGAAUACCAAGGCGCUUGAGAGAACUCGGGUGAAGGAACUAGGCAAAAUGGUGCCGUAACUUCGGGAGAAGGCACGCUGAUAUGUAGGUGAAGUCCCUCGCGGAUGGAGCUGAAAUCAGUCGAAGAUACCAGCUGGCUGCAACUGUUUAUUAAAAACACAGCACUGUGCAAACACGAAAGUGGACGUAUACGGUGUGACGCCUGCCCGGUGCCGGAAGGUUAAUUGAUGGGGUCAGCGCAAGCGAAGCUCUUGAUCGAAGCCCCGGUAAACGGCGGCCGUAACUAUAACGGUCCUAAGGUAGCGAAAUUCCUUGUCGGGUAAGUUCCGACCUGCACGAAUGGCGUAAUGAUGGCCAGGCUGUCUCCACCCGAGACUCAGUGAAAUUGAACUCGCUGUGAAGAUGCAGUGUACCCGCGGCAAGACGGAAAGACCCCGUGAACCUUUACUAUAGCUUGACACUGAACAUUGAGCCUUGAUGUGUAGGAUAGGUGGGAGGCUUUGAAGUGUGGACGCCAGUCUGCAUGGAGCCGACCUUGAAAUACCACCCUUUAAU
rnacentral:rRNA from 1 species